rnacentral:rRNA from 1 species
AGUGAACGCUGGCGGUAGGCCUAACACAUGCAAGUCGACCGGCAGCACAGUAAUAGAUUGAUCUUACGGUUGGCGAGUGGCGGGUAGGUGAUGAAUAAAUCGGCUUCUACUUUUUCGUAGGGUAUAACGUAGGGUACCUUUCGCUAAUACUGUAUACGUCCUACGUGUUAUAACAGUGGAUCUUCUGACCUUGCGCGAUUGACUGUGCCGAUGUCGGAUUAGCUGGUGGGCGGGGUAAAGGCCCAACAAGGCGACGAUCCGUAGCUGGACUGAGAGGAUGAUCAGCCACACUGGAACUGAGACACGGUACAGACGCCUAGGGGAGGCACCAGUAGGGAAUAGUGAACAAUGAGCGCAAGACAGAUCAAGACAGACCGCGUGGGUGAAGAAGGAAUUCGGGUUGUAAAGCGCAUUUGUUGGGAAAGAAAAGCAGCAGGUUAAGAGCCCGCUGUUCUGACGGUACCAAAAGAAUAAGCAACGGCUAAAUUCGUG